CGGACGGGUGAGUAACGCGUGGAUAACCUGCCGUAUACCGGGGGAUAACACUUAGAAAUAGGUGCUAAUACCGCAUAAGCGCACGGCUCCGCAUGGGGCAGUGUGAAAAAUUCCGGUGGUAUACGAUGGAUCCGCGUCUGAUUAGCUAGUUGGCGGGGUAACGGCCCACCAAGGCAGCGAUCAGUAGCCGGCCUGAGAGGGUGGACGGCCACAUUGGGACUGAGACACGGCCCAAACUCCUACGGGAGGCAGCAG
rnacentral:rRNA from 1 species